GGGAGUAUAGCUCAAAUGGGAGAGCGCUGUCUUUGCAUGGCAGAUGUUGAGAGUUCGAGUCUCUCUAUUUCCA
rnacentral:tRNA from 1 species